AAUGAAAGUCUCUUAUCUUAAACUUUUUGUGAUUUUUUUUGAACCUGAAUUUUGCUUUGCAACCAGAAUUUCUAUACAUCUUCUAAAUAUACGUUGAUGCCUCCAUACGUGGCCGACUUCUUUUGAACUCAUACAUCUCAAGGCAUCUCUUACUAAACAUCCUCUGUGCUAAACUCCAUCCUAAUAUUUUUGUAGCAUUACUUAUUUGUUCCAAAUUUAAAUUAUAAUAGCUUAUUUUAUUCCUUAGUUUUAACUGGGUUAAAUAACAUAGAUGUUAAGACACCAUUAUUACAUUGUAGGGGAUCGCAGAUAAGUUUUCCUAAACCCUUCUAGGCAUCUGCCUUCCCACAUUAGGAAAUCUAUUUACUAGGAGGGCAAAUUGAACCCUAAAAAUGUACACAAAUAGGCACAUCCAUGAACCGACGUCUGUGGUUCUACCAUAACAUUCCCUGUGGUCUAGUUAAAAGUAAGUGCUGUCACGUAUCUGUCAAUAAAGCUUGAAAAGGAUCAUAUACUCUUGAAUUAUUUUCCUAUAUUAGAUUGAUGGGGUUCAGCAUAUGAACCUUCGGAGAUGCUAGCUGUGUCAAGGUAAACUGACAAAGUGAUCUCGCCAGAUCGCGGCCACGGCGACCAGGAACUCCACGAAGCAGCUGAGACCGUCGUCUGCCUCUCUGGCCUGUAGCAAACCACAAUAACGAGGUUGCUCUCUGUAGACUCCAAACUGUUUUUUGUUGUUGUUGUUUAUAAUCGGUCUCUAGUUCCGCAACACACUCUGGCGAGUGUAUCCCUGCAAAAGGUAGGUGAGUCUGGUUGGGUAACCAGCUCUACCCUCUUGCUGCCCCUCCUACUCCCAAACUCAGAGUCACCCGCCUGUACAGCCUCGGUAGGAAGAGGGAUACCAGUAAGUCACAUAAAACAUUCCAUAAAACAUUCUCCUCUCAAAAAUACAGUCGCCCAAGGUUAAGAAACCAGGGAAGGUAGAAAGGAUAAGCGAAUUUGUGUACUGAGGUCUCGAUCUAUGUUUUAUGUACAAUUACGAGCUAAUGUUCUCUGUGAAACAGGCCCCGCCUUCGCAGGGAUGCUCACGCCUGGCAUCCUGAGGUCUGCAGCACCCCAUAAACUUUGUUCCCAGUCUCGCUGCUUGACAGAUAUUAUCAUCUGAGACAAUGCUAAUUAUUCCAUCUGUAUCCAAAGAACCAGCUCCCUCCAAGAGAACUAAUCAUUAAAAUGCAAAUAGGUGUUUCCCACUUCACUGGUUUAGCGGAGAAAGACUGUUAACAGCUUUCUGACAAGAAAGAGAGAAGCUUAAUGAGUUGAUGCCUUAACCCUGUGGAUGGAAGGAGCACAAGGCUCCGGAUCCAACUCCGCACUGUGCGCCAGCCUCCAGUGCGGAUCCUUUCUGUGCGGCGGCCUUUACGAAUUAGCUGAUAGAAGCUGCUAGAGACAUUACCCAACAACAAAGCUGAUUUCGGAUUCCACUCACUGUGCCCAGGCAGCUCUCACGUAGACUAAUCACUUAAAUGAUUUAAAAAUGUAUGAAUAUGCAUGGUGGUGCUUUACAGAAAAAUAAAGCCCAGCUGAGACCAUGACAUCAAGCUUUUCUCCCUUUCUCUGAUUUGGAGCAACUGCACUGGCGUAUCUGGAACGCUGGAGCGGCCGCAGAGCCUGAGGUCCAGGUGGACGAGGCACGAGCGGCAGUGUGUCCAGCAGCCCUACAAAUGCAACCUCUGCCGUCUCCCCGAUCCUCACGGCCUCCUGGGGGGGCGUUGGGGGGCUGUCUGAAAUAUCUACAUCUUGAGCGGCUCCCGGAGCGAGAAGGGGCACAUCUCCUCCCUCUGCCCCUGGCAACUUUACACCUUUGGUGCACGGUGAUCGGUGAUCUGAUUGGAUGCAGACCCAGGCACCGACAAUCACGAGCAAAAGGGCGGAAUUAAAACCACAGGACGCACAUUAAGCUCCAGCUACCGAUGGUCCUCAGGGUGCAGGUCCGCCCAUCAGCGUCAGACCCUAUGAACGGACCAGGAUGUGUGGGGGUCACGACACUCACAGUCUCCUCGGGAAACUAUGACAGCGAGUACGAUACGGAGGCAGCAAAGGACUUGCAGAGGGCACAGCGUCUGCACGGGGUCUCAAGGACAAGGAGGAUUUCGGGACAAGCAUGGCGCAGGCAGACGGGCGUGGCCGGAGGAAGGGGCUGGUGGCCUCAGCCCCCGGGAGCUGGGAGGACACGAGAUGGACAGUUCGGAGAAGGAACUCAAGAUCAUAGCAGGAGCUGGGACAUUUUUUAAUAUAAAAUUCAGACCCUUGGGGCACUUGGGUGGCGCAGCGGUUGAGCGCCUGCCUUCGGCCCAGGGCGUGACCCCAGGUCCUGGGAUCGAGUCCCACAUCGGGC